GACGAACGCUGGCGGCGUGCCUAAUACAUGCAAGUAGAACGCUGAAGGAGGAGCUUGCUUCUCUGGAUGAGUUGCGAACGGGUGAGUAACGCGUAGGUAACCUGCCUGGUAGCGGGGGAUAACUAUUGGAAACGAUAGCUAAUACCGCAUAAUAGUAGAUGUUGCAUGACAUUUGCUUAAAAGUUUCAAUUGCAUCACUACCAGAUGGACCUGCGUUGUAUUAGCUAGUUGGUGGGGUAACGGCUCACCAAGGCGACGCUACAUAGCCGACCUGAGAGGGUGAUCGGCCACACUGGGAAUGAGACACGGCCCAGACGCCUACGGGAGGCAGCAGUAGGGAAUCUUCGGCAAUGGACGGAAGUCUGACCGAGCAACGCCGCGUGAGUGAAGAAGGUUUUCGGAUCGUAAAGCUCUGUUGUAAGAGAAGAACGAGUGUGAGAGUGGAAAGUUCACACUGUGACGGUAUCUUACCAGAAAGGGACGGCUAACUACGUG
rnacentral:rRNA from 1 species